CUAAGGUUCGUCCCCGAAUCUCAGUAAAGGGACAAGGUUUCUUUUCCAUCACCCAAAUGCGCACCGGUGCCCUCUUUCCAGACAGGAGAGAGAGAGGCCCUGAAGCUGCCGCUUCUUCUUCUUUUCCUUCUUCUUCUCGCUGCGUCGCUCGUGGACGGACGGAUGCCGCCGGUCUGCGAUCCCCUCGACGCAGGCUCUGAGACUAAGAAGUGGCCGCUAGGCGUCGCGAGUGGCGUCGGCAUCGUACUCAACCGCCGGCGGCUAGAGCGGACCGGCGGAGGAAGAGCAGCAGGUUAAGCAGCGGGAGACGAGCUAAGGACCACUCUAGGCCGAGAAUGGAGAGGGUUAUGACGAAAGAAGAAGCCUAAAUUCGUCAGUUAGAAAGGCGCACCUGUAAACUGGCUUAGAUCAAAUGGAAAAAAAAGUGCCCGUCAAAUGGGAUAAAACAGGCACCUCUCACCAACGAAGGUAUCCUUUGUCGGGUAAAAAUUAGACAUACAUAAUAAGCUUACGCAACCGCCGAACGACUUGUUCAACCGACGUUAGAUUCGCGAAUGGUCAAGUAGUUGAACUGAAGAUAACCGCUACAGCACGCCCUCUCCCGUCAUCACUAAAUAUCUCGGAACUUUCGUUCACAAUACUGUUUAUUAUGAUAAACCUACAAGACGACCAAACUAAACCUAACAGGAUCAGGUCGUUAGGAAUCGCACCGGGGCAAAGCCAAGGUGGUACUUUUUUAUAAACCAAUCCGAAGUAUUAAUCAAACAAAAGAUAGUCAUAUUGAGUUACGUUUAGUAUUCAGUUUGGUAGUAUAAGACACGGUAAAGGUAUAAGAACCGUUGAGACGAUACCUCAAUACACUCGUGUAAUCAGAUCACUUUCAUCCUAAUAGUGAUCAAAAGAUAGACAUCUUUGCUCCUAACAAUGAUCUUUAUUUUAGAGUACGAGGCCAACAACUUGUAAACAACCUCGACCACCAUCAACAAGUCGACUCCCACAGAAAAAUCUAUCCCUAGUUAUACAUGAGCCUCGUCAAGAACUGGCACGAAAGAUUAAUUUGACCCAAUGUAGGACAACUCCCCUAUAGACCACGAAGGAAUGGAAUGUCACCAAGGCAAGAUGGUGGUUUUUUGUACUUUUCCAGACCUGCAGACCACUUUUUACUCUUGUAGCUAAGCUAUGUUCUAAGUAGAUACUACGGUGUGUUAAACUAGGUGUGCGGCUCUUUGUUCUUACUGUUUAAGACGAGACCAUCAUCGGUUAAGUUUAAGUCUCCACUUUUAUCAAAACACGUAAUAAUUAUAAUUGUCGUCUUAAAGAGUAAAAACAAAGAAGUACACACAUAGAUAAAACAAAGAACAUUGAAACACCGUAGCAUCAACUUGGAACAAUUGUAUCAAAAGAAUACUGGAAAAAAAAGGAAACUUUACCCAAGAAUAGUGAAAGAUCACCACGAAGAGUAUAACCAUCGUACCCACACGAAAUACUCCUCCUUCCUGACCCAUACAAGAGUGACGGAUACCAUAUUUUUACACGACACAAACUGGUACACUUCGUCACCGACCACACAACUCAUAUUCUGAACCCCACUCAAAGAUAACACGGUCAUUGAACUCAUUAUCUAACAUAAGAGUCAUACUAUUAUAGAGUUCAACGCGUAAUCUGAUUGUGUUUAUAGUAUCUUUUCUCCAUAACUAACUAACUAACUAAUCUGACAGAGACGAUGACAUAAUGUAUCGUAUGAGUACAAUCAUUGGAUGACUUAUUCGAAAUCUUUUUGUAUUUCCAUUUCUUUCUUUUCUCGUAUCAGUUUCGGAACAUGAAGAAUGUAACUUAUGACCUAUCAUUAGGAACACACUAAGCUCAACUCUUUUUUAACAUCCCCUUUAUGGUAUACUUAAUACUCAUAUGGGAACGACUUCACCCUUACGUAUCUUGAUUUUAAGUACAUACGAAAGAGACAACGUAAAAAACACAAGAGCACAUACAUCAACUUGUCCUAUAUUAUAAACUAUUAUAAAGAAGAUAACGGCAAUUAUUAAGAAACACGUGCUGACUAAUACGUAUUAAACGUCCCCGAAAAAGAAGCUCCGAACAGUGUGAACUAUGGUAACUAUAUAAAUGGUGAGUACUUACCAAGAGGUCUGGUUGACACAAAAAGGCGACGUCACCUCUAUUGGUCUGUAUAAACGGACUGCACUUCCUCCGUUUAAACUAUAUAUGGAAAUUCCCACUUCUUAGUACCGUCGGGAAUUGCCUUGAAGGUCUUUUCUUCACGUUCGCUACACCAAACAUGCUUGUCCUAUACAAAUCUUUACUACACAAACUACUUACCCUCGACACAAGAUCACUGAAGUUUCUACCGUUCAUGUGUGUGAAGUUCCUUCCCGUCAAGUUACGCUGGAAGGACACGGGUUUGACAUGACAGAGACAACCACUACGACGUCGGGUAGUGAGAUCGAGUCUCCACCUUCGGUUUUUCUGUAGACAACGACAAUGGUAUUAUCAUUCGCAAGAGCGAAGGCAAUAGCAGCAGGAGCGGAACAAGCCUCGGAUGUUCAUGACCGACUUUUUCUUCUCCCUCGCCCUAGUCAAUGCUAAAGAGUUCGAGAAGCUCCUCCCUCUGCUGUACCUGCUGCUCGACCCGGACUCGUUACUUGAGAUUCUAUCGCUUAUGUCAGACUGCGGGACUAGAGGUUAGUAGGGUCUAAUCAAGUGCAGCGGCACAUAUUUUACAAGAAGAAGAAAGGUAAAGAGAAAAGUCAAAAAUCGAAGUUUAAAAACACUACAUGUCGUGGAGGUGCCAACUUUCUGUGUUGAGACUGUCGUUGUCUUGUUGAGAAAGCUAAGCAGCGCGAAAAGGGGGAGUAUUCUAGACCGUUGCCAAUCGCAACGAAUAAGUCAAUACUCACCCAGUAGUGUACAGUCAGAAGUAACAUAG
rnacentral:rRNA from 1 species